rnacentral:rRNA from 1 species
UACGGAGGAUCCAAGCGUUAUCCGGAUUUAUUGGGUUUAAAGGGUCCGUAGGCGGGCUUUUAAGUCAGUGGUGAAAUCCCGGAGCUCAACUCCGGAACUGCCAUUGAUACUGAAAGUCUUGAAUUUAGUUGAGGUGGGCGGAAUACGUUAUGUAGCGGUGAAAUGCAUAGAUAUAACGUAGAACACCGAUUGCGAAGGCAGCUCACUAAGCUAACAUUGACGCUGAUGGACGAAAGCGUGGGGAGCGAACAGG